rnacentral:rRNA from 1 species
UACGAGUGGUGCAAGCGUUAUUCGGAAUCACUGGGCGUAAAGGGUGUGUAGGCGGCAUUUCAAGUCCACUGUUAAAUAUCCCGGCCUAACUGGGAAAAUGCAAUGGAUACUGAUUUGAUAGAGGGUGGAAGAGAGAAGUGGAAUUCUCGGAGUAGCGGUAAAAAUGCGUAGAUAUCGAGAGGAACACCGAUGGCGAAAGGCAGCUUCUUGGUCCAUACCUGACGCUGAUACACGAAAGCGUGGGGAGCAAACAGG